rnacentral:lncRNA from 1 species
UGGCACCGGGCGCCCUUUCCGGCUCCAUGUAGAGCCACACCAUCGCGGCUCUGCACUAGAUUGCGUGCGCAGGAUCUCCUCCCUUCAAGGCAGGUUGAGUCGACAGGGUUCGCUCCCGUCCUGGGAGUCUACUCCUCAUCUUGGACUUCCUUCUUUCUCUGAACACCUACUGUGUACCAGCGUGGCGCUGAGGAAGCAUAUGUGAAGACAGGACAAUGUGUGGAGUGCCUUGGAAGUGUGCGUGACUGUUGCUGCUGACAGCCGAGCGGGGAAAGCCACAUUUUGCUUGGUUUGUGUCAGUAGCAUCAUCUACCAUCCCUGUCAUCUUCCAUGGAAAGUGGAAAGGGGAAGUUAGAUUCCCAAGGAGAAUGCCCAUCGCAGCAACAGAUGGAGCAGGCCUGGACCCUGAAAGGUCUGAAGGUUGAGAGGAGGCCAGAGGCUGCUGCCCUCGAAGCAUCCCCUCAUCGCUUCCGUGGCCGCCAGGUGUGUCGCGGGCCAUAGAGGAGCUGCUCCGAAGCCAGCGCGGGCCUGGCAUGGGACCAUCAGCCUGCCCAGGUGGUUAAGCAGAGAAACCUCUUCUCAAACGCCCUCCCUCCAAAGUCCCUGCUGGUGCCCAACAACUCUAAUUUUCCGGGUAGGAAUAAGCAGCGGCCAGUGGGACGUAGGUGAGCCACCAAAAGCCCGACAGACCGAGCCGGGACGAGCAGGGGUUUCCCCAGCCCGGGGUCCGCCACCCCCUACCCCCUCCCCCCCAUCCCCGUGGAAGACCCCGAGGGAGAAUCGCGUCAAUAGGGAAACUAGAAACUGGGAACUAUGACUCUGGGAACCGAGAACCCGACUGCGCUUGGCCGCUGGCGUGCGGUGCGAGCUCGG